UACGGAGGGUGCGAGCGUUGUCCGGAAUCACUGGGCGUAAAGGGCGCGUAGGUGGCCUGUGGAAGUCUGCGGUGAAAGCCCGGCGCUCAACGCCGGGUCGGCCGUGGAUACUCUCGGGCUCGAGCUUACUAGAGGCAGAUGGAAUUCCGGGUGUAGCGGUGGAAUGCGUAGAGAUCGGGAAGAACAUCAGUGGCGAAGGCGGCCUGCUGGGCUGUUGCUGACGCUGAGGCGCGACAGCGUGGGGAGCAAACAGG
rnacentral:rRNA from 1 species